GGGGCUGCCUUGGUUUCGACGUGGGUCACGAAGCGGCACAAUGCAUGUCGAGGUCCGGAAUCCUCGUAAAACAGUUCGGAAAACUAUAAACGCCAACAACAAGCGUUUCGCUCUCGCGGCUUAAUCCCGCGGGACGGUGCACCGGUUCGCCUGAGGGCCGGGCUGGGUAAAACUAGCAGCACCGCCAUACACUCGGGCUGGAUCUCACUGGAGUCGUGACUGUGAGGUCGAGAUCAAGCGACUGGUUCCUGAAGGGCCUGCCGGCAGGCAUGAGCAGGGGCGAGAUUUAAAAUUUGACGGCUAAGCAUGUAGAUUUGGUCGUGGACGAUUUGCGGACGCGGGUUCGACUCCCGCCAGCUCCACCA
rnacentral:tmRNA from 1 species